rnacentral:misc_RNA from 1 species
GCUGAGUACCAGAAGCUCUAUGGACGGCCACUUUAUGUAUCAGAGUAUGGGGCAUUCAAGCUGGUUAAUCUUUUCAAGAAAAUGAAUGAUGCAUUGGCAAUAGAUGGCAAGGGCCAAAAGAAGUUUAUCUACCUUAGAAAUUGGAAAGCAAGCCCAAGUGCACCUCCUUUACCUCAGGCAAGAAAGGAUAAGAAAAGUAAGGGGACUCAGGAAGAGAGUUUGGACGCUAUGGCAGGUGGUGGCUCUUCAGAUGAGUUCUCAGAUGAGGAAAGGGUGGUAGCUGAGGAACAUGAGGAGAGAAGGAACCAAGGUAAGGCGAGCACAGGGACAACAGCCCGAGGUGAAGUUAACCAAAAUCUUGAGCAAUUCAAACACGAGUUGCAGGAAAUUCUAGUGAGUUAUUCUUGUCGGAUUUUCCUGGGUUGUUUUGAGGAAAUAUAUCAGCAACGAUACAAGAAACCACUAGACUAUCAAAGGUUUGAUGUGGAUCAGCUGGAGGAGCUUUUUAAUAAGGUAAGUGAUGUUGUUGUCUUGCAUGAAGAACCAGUAAGCAAGAGGAAAUUUCUGGCUGCUGUGGGUGGUUAGUAACAAAGAGUAAACAGCUUGCCUAUCUGUUAUUUUUUUUUCACUUGCAUAUUGCAGACUCAUAACUUCAACAAUUUUCCCCUUGUUUCAUAAAUAGCGGGAGAGGCUGGAUCACAUUUGUUGUUUUAUAAAAUAUGUGUCCUGCAUGGAUUGAAUGUUAAUUUUGAAGUUUCCAUGUAUGCAUCUGUGCCUCAUCAAUGUAACUAAUCAAACUACUAAUGCUACUACUAAUGCUUAGUGUCUAACACUAUGUUUUCUAGCAUUUUGAUUAGUUACAUUGAUGAGGCACAGA